GAUGAACGCUGGCGGCGUGCCUAAUACAUGCAAGUCGAGCGAACAGACGAGGAGCUUGCUCCUCUGAUGUUAGCGGCGGACGGGUGAGUAACACGUGGCUAACCUACCUAUAAGACUGGGAUAACUUCGGGAAACCGGAGCUAAUACCGGAUAACAUGUUGAACCGCAUGGUUCAAGAGUGAAAGACGGUCUUGCUGUCACUUAUAGAUGGAUCCGCGCCGCAUUAGCUAGUUGGUAAGGUAACGGCUUACCAAGGCAACGAUGCGUAGCCGACCUGAGAGGGUGAUCGGCCACACUGGAACUGAGACACGGUCCAGACUCCUACGGGAGGCAGCAGUAGGGAAUCUGCCGCAAUGGGCGAAAGCCUGACGGAGCAACGCCGCGUGAGUGAAGAAGGUCUUCGGAUCGUAAAACUCUGUUAUUAGGGAAGAACAAAUGUGUAAGUAACUAUGCACGUCUUGACGGUACCUAAACAGAAAGCCACGGCUAACUACGUG
rnacentral:rRNA from 1 species